GAUGAGCACAGAUACUUGUACCUGAGUCAUGGAUGUUAUCUAUAUAUUUAAGUAUUUUAAUAUUAUAUAUAUCGUUGUCUGAGUACCCAAAACACAAGCCUUCUUAGCUUACCGUGGGACUAUUAGUCAAUUUGUGUCGAAGGAAAACAAUCGAGACAGCAGAAGUUUGACAAAAAUCUGGGGGCCCGGUAGUGCCCCCGCCAAGCCGAGUCGAGCGAAGCGCAAGGGUAAUUCCUACCUUUUCUCGAAGCACUUGGGUUUUGGGUUUGUAUAAUCCAUUCAGAUAAGAAAAUAUCUCGGGAUAUGAUGGCAAUUGGACUUAUUAAUCAAAAAAAGAUUAAAUUGCAUAGCUCGUCGUCUAUUAAAUUUUAUUGUCAUUAAAAAAACGAUUUCGUCACUAACGGCUCAAUUCGAACUUUAAGAUACGUCUAAUAUUAGGUUUAGAUACGGUAUGGAUCAGAUAUGUCAGUGUCAAAAGUGACGUUUCUUCAAACAAAAACCCCCACACUCACUCACUCACUCAAUCACUCACUCACAGAUGAUCUGCAAAAUUCAAAAUCCUGAAGUCCUAGAAAGCUAAAAUUUGGUCGUGGUGGAAACGGUUGGCCACAUGUUUUGACUAAUGGCCGGAUUCGAACUUUAAGAUACGUCAAAAAUUACGUAAGGAUACGAUACGAUAUGGAUGUCAAUUAAAAGUGACAACGUCAACAAGUGAGUGAAAAUGUCACUUUUGUCACUGACAUAUCUAAUCCAUAUCGUAUCUUUAACAAAUGUUUGAUGUAUCUUAAAAUUCGAAUCGAACCGUAAGAUGUAGUUUGUGAAGUUAGGGCGCGUUGAGCUAGAAGCUAGGCUCUACAUGAAAUCUAAUAACUUUUUGACAGUGUGAGACAUAUGAUUUCAUCUUGGCAACAUUUUCCAUGAAAAUGUUUUCGGUGGGAUACUCAUUUCAUGCAACAAAAUGGCUAACGAUAAAUUUUAUAGGCUUGUGCUACUAAUAUUUGAUUGUUCUCUUCCCUUCUCAUACAUUAUUCAUGUUAAUAUUAUAUAUUCGUAGGACUCAGACACUAACAACAUUCCAAGCAUGUGUUUAACUUCUGAAUAUCCCAUCUGUCCACGAGCCCCCUCAAAAAUAGCCGCCAACUCGUAAGCGAAGUAGUUAAGGAACUCCGGCGUGCCUGCUCAAUACGGCGGCUCCGACUGACGAUCAAAGUUCAGCGCCGAGUACGGAGGGAAGAUAAGUGUCCUUCACCGUGUUCUCAUCUCUUACCGAGCGCUGCGCUGGUGGCAACCGUCCAAUGUCCAGGCGCUCCGGUGUGCGAACAUGGCGCUGUCUCGCUCACACACCAGAGCGGCGUACGGACGGAUUCGCAUUAGUCUGAUGACUGCCAGUGGCCACCAACUUUCCGGAAGUUGGUGCCCACUGGUAGUUCGAAUACAGAGGGCAAAAAAGUUGCCUAACUACUACUUUUCAUAAUUGAAUGAAUAAUGGUAAACCUCUAAUAAUAGACCUCUUACAGGCCAAUUCGAACUUACAUUGACACCAAAAUGACAUCUAUGUAUGGUGUCAUUGAGUUAUGGUGCAUUUCGCUGAUGCUUGUCCGCACAUGUACUAGCGCAAGUGUGACGCACGGUAAUUAUGAUAUCAUCAUAAUCAUAAGAAGUCCUUAGUACACAUAUGUAGUGUGAGAGAGAGGACGCACUUAUCUCGGCUCGGUUGAGCGCAUGGCAUGUGGAAUAACGCCGCUUUUGCUGGCAUCGGCCGCUGCCGCCGUGUCGCGCGAUUGUCGCCCCUGUGCUGCGGACACAAGGCUGUAGUGACUGCACGUCACGCGAGCAACACUAUUUAAUAAACUUUUCGUCUAUGCUGCACUCGCGCUCUCUUUGCACUAACUUCUUGUUCUGUGAGGCUACGCUGUAGAUGUAGCGUUGCUACGACGUAGCACUACUACGACGUUGCGCUACGCGGUUAUGUUUAAGACGAUACUCUUAAACGUGGACGUAAGAUAUACGGCCCCAUUCGAAGAAUAAUUAGGACACGUUUAAGAUCUUGGAAAGAUCUUUAAAAGACCGAUAACUAGAUGAAAAUUGACAUUUAUUUCGAUACCGCUGUGAUCCCAAUAACAUCUAUCUACGAUAUUUCUAACGUGAAAGUGACAUGGUUGCCCCAAUCGAGCUGCUUCUGUCAACUAUACGACAUACAAAUGAUAUCUAAAUGAGAACUUAUCUAAACCAGAACUUAUUGUUAUCGUAUCUCAUUCUUCGAAUCGGGCCGUUGGUAUCGAUUAGACGUAAGACGUAAAGUUUCCGUCCGUGGGGCCGAUUUUGUUUUGAUCGUGUUCUUCUCUCACUCUCACUGAGUGUAGUAAACGAGAUGUAUGCGCGUACUCGGGACCUCGGAUAUCAUGUUUUUGAAUUUUCUUGGUUUAUAUUUUAACAAAAAGAAGUAAUCGUUGAGUAAACUCAAAAAUUGCAGCAAUCAAUUUUCAUAUUUUUAGCUUUUGCUUAUAAAUUGUUACAAUUUUUUAAAGUGCGUUUUAGACGUAUGUUCGUGUUUUUUAUAUUAAGCUAAAGUAAAACAAAAACAGGAUUCCUCAAGAUUACUAAUUAAAUUUUUGGCAACCGUAUUGAGAUCUAAAAUAGCGGUACGGUUUUUUUCAAAAACAACGCUCUCUGAACCUACGGACCUUAACAAUUGGAUAUGGUUCUCAUCUUAUUCUGACACGACCUUCAGUCAUGUCAUCAAGCAUCUCAGGUGUUGCGUACAAUAUUUUAAGUUACUUUCUCUGAUUGCAUUUCAUGCGUGCAGUGGCGGCUGACUCGGGCUCGUGUCAAAACAAGAUGGCAACCAAAUCAGAUUGUUAAAGCAUGAUCAGCCUCCGUCACAUUCCACAAACAUUGCGGGGCGGCGGAAGUGUGACACAACUUUAUUUUGAGAUUUGUGUGCGCAUGUCAAUAUAAAAUUGCUUCACAUAUUGAAAUAUAAAUACAAACUGUUUUUUUAGAAUUCUGAAACGAAAAUUUUGUAUGCAUGAAUUGCAGGCCAAUUCGAACGUACCCUGACGUCAGAAUGAUGUUAUUUAGUUAACGUGCGUCUCGUCCGCGCCAAUACAUGUACAUGAAAGUACGAGAUGUCAUUUUGAUGUCAGUGUACGUUCCAGUUGGCCUGGAUGUCAUUAAAUUUUUCAUUUCGCCCGUACUUGUUGCAGGAGACGCGCCUAAAUAACAUCAUUCGGAUAUCAUUAUGACGUCAGUGUUUGUUCAAAUUGGCCUGUGUGUGUGUCUUCUGUUUGUAUGUCAUUGCGGUAAUCGGUAAACUGUUACCGAUACUAUAAUAGAUGCAAUUCCAGUACGUCUGUAAAAUGUACAUGUACCCAUAUUGGCAGAAAGCACAAUUGCAUUCGGGAGUCGGCGUCACGCCGACCGGCGGAGGCGGCGUCAUGCCGACUGGCGGCCGCGGGGCCGACUGCAUGGCAACAUGAAGACAAUGACUUAUAUUUAACCAUCUUUAUUUAUAUCAUGUACCGUUACGAUUAUCAUAGCAUCGUUUAAAUAAUAUUAAUUGAUCUUACAAAUUCAUGACGUUUAUUUAUUUUCACGUCAGCAGCUCGAACAAGGGUAAUUUGCUGCUUAAAAACAGUGAGCAAAAUCGCAUUUUGCUCACUGAGUGAGACAAAAUAACAUUCAAUUGACCUUUAUAUUCGAAUGUCAUUUCAAUGUGCGGGGCCUAAAACAAGUUCGAAGUAUUUGGAUUCCAUUGUCUUUGUCUCUUUUACGUCAUUAGCACAAGAAAGAGACAAAAAAGAGCAUACAUAAUUCAACGGUAUAUUGACGGUUUAUAAUAGACCCCCGAAAUAAGUCAGACCGCAUCGUUCCAAAACACCCUACCAGUCUUCAUUUGUAAUAAUUAAUUAUAGAAAUAAAAGUUGAAAAUUUAAUAAAAACACCAUAUUUUAUUAUAAAAUGAAAACAAUGAACUUAUACAAAUUUACGCAAUUGUUACGCAGUAAAUAAUUCUAAUUAACUACUCUUAACGAUCUCUACUAUAGUUGACAAAUAGUAGUAUCCGCAAUUCGGACCGUAUCUUACAAAGUUUUUUUUUACAAAAAAAAGUUGUCGAUUUUUUCGUAUUAUUUUAUUGAAAUUUCUUUCGUUUUGUUUUAUUGCGGUAAUUAAAGUUAAUUGUUAGAAUACCUUCAGAAAACAUGUGUGAAAUAGUGAUGAAGACGGAUUACAUUUUUUCAGGUUGUAUUUUUUGAUGGCUGACUGACGUGAAAAUUUUUGUGUGCUACGAGAUCAAAGUUAUUUACAUCUCGUGCGCUUUUGAGCCCCUUACUACGCUCAAGAUUCUAAAUUAGAUUCAUUCGCUACGCUCGUGAACCUAUUAUAGAAUCUUUCGCUUGCACGGGACUCAAAACAAGGACUCGAGGAAGUAUCAAACUUUGCUCUCUUGUUGUACAAAUAACUAUUUCAUCGAGAAUCUAUUACAGUUCGUUCACAUUAAGAAAAUAAAUAUAUGUAGGUAAGUUGUUUUAUCUGACAUUGGAGAUUUUAACCACAUAAGAAGAAAAUAUAUUUUAAAGUGUUAUGAACUAAAGUUUUCUACUAGAUAACUUUGCAUUCUGUACCGAUUGCUUGUUGUUGUUAUUAAUUUUUUUACCAAGCAAAUUCCUUAUUCAAAACUUAUGAAGAUAAAAAAACUAAAAUUAAAUAAGUGCUUUUGAUGACAACUUGCCACGAGUGUAGCAAGACAAAUAUAAAUAAUAUUAUCAGGAUGCAGCAUCGUCAGUGAAAGUGCGUGGCGGGGAUGCGUGACGCGAGGGGCAGGCGACGGCCCGCGGCGCUAUGUAGGUCAGGGCCGGGGCGCGCCACGCACCGAGGGGACAACCGACACCCGCUACAUUCACUACACGUCUCACGGAUUAUCUCGCCUCUUAUGACAGAUGCUGGGCAUUUCUCGACGGCGUGCCGGCAGGUAAUAUCGGCAUUCGUGGGGUUGCGGCGUCGCCGGCCCGCGCUGCGUUACGGAGCUUGACGGUGGAGUUAGCAAUUUAUGAAGACGACGAAGGCUUCACAAAUAUGUUUUAUUAAGCUGGACUGGAUAAAUAAAUACCAUUUUUUAGCAGACACCUAGGUCCGUAGUCCACCCGCUCGCUACGUUACAUUUUUGACACGCCUACUUAACAUUACAUUACGAAGAAAAAAGUUCUAGAUUCCUGCAUACUUCCCCGUCUGUCCUACGGCAGCCAAACAUGGAUACAUGGUAGCGACACCAAACACAAAAUUCGAACAUGUCAAGCAGCUUUAGAGAGAAGUAUAAAGACAGAAU